rnacentral:lncRNA from 1 species
AGGGCAUGGUGUGAUUAAUGUCAUAGAUCUUUUCCAGCUUCUCUUAGUUUCCGCAUUUAACUUCCUUAGCAAUUCAUUAAAAGACUGAGGGCUUGCUUGACUUUAUUUUUUGUAUCUAAAAUUAAAAAUAAAGCAGGGCAGCCUUAAGAGAGGACAUUAAAGUGAUGGUACUUACUUUUGUUUGCUUAUUUUUAUUUUCUGAUGGAACAAAUAGUUUCCUUGGUAGGCAAACAACUUUCUGAGGGUCAGCAUAAUUGCAGUCAGCAUUUAUGCCCUUUCUGAGUUGGCAGCUUACUCUGCUGUGAGCCCUGCAUAAGAUGCCUGGUUCAGUGAGCAAAACUCACAUGGUGUCACUUUGAAGAUAAAGUCAUGUCUCCCAGGAUGCAUUGUCAACAAGCCUGAUGAGGUCUGUGCCCUAUGACCAUACAAGUUUGAAUCACUGGAGCAGUGAAAUAGUGGACAUUUUUAAUCACUCACCACAAUGCCUGGCACUUUAAAAUAUUGAAGUAAUGGAAGAAAGAUUUAAGACUGAGUCUCACUCUGUCAUGCAGGUUGAAGCACAGUGAUGUGAUCUCAGCUCACCCGCAACCUCUGUCUCCUGGGUUCAAGACAUUCUUCUGCCUCAGCCUCCCGAGUAGCUGAGACUACAGGCAUACACCACCAUGCCAGGCUAAUUUUUUUUGUAUUUUUAGUAGAGACAAGGUUUCACCAUGUUGGCCAGGCUGGUCUCAAACUCCUGACCUCAGGUGAUCCUCCCAUAGCCAAAUGAAUUAUACAACCCCUUAAAAAAUUCCUUAUGAUGACUUACAUAGACCAUUCGCAACAUGCUUAGACUUUCUGUUUUGUCCUAAAUAUCCCUCUCUCUUUAACAAUCUAGUCAUUUUAUUUUAGGACAGAAAUUUACCGCAUGAGAUCCUUUCUUAUAUAAAAUUACUUUCCUUUUUAUCUUCUUCACCAACAUACUUCUUUAUAGAUUUAACUUUCUUUACAUCUUUUAUUUCCUGGUUCCUUUUAACUUGUGUAUACCUUGUAUAACCUGUAUAACCUUGUAUAACAUGUAUAAACAAGGUAAAAGGUAUAAAACCUUAAAUAAACUUUGAAUUAGACAAAGAUAUUUAAUAAGAACAUUAAAAAAUAUUUUCC